UUGUCCAUCGAAAGGCAGAUAUAUAUAUAUAUAUAUACAUAUAAUAUUUUGUCCAUUGAAAGGCAGAUAUAUAUAUAUAUAUAUAUACACUCAGAAUCUCAGAUAUGUACUCGGUGAACUAGCAAGAAUGGCUUCUAAGAAGGUUUUGUAUCCCUGGGUGGUUCUGUUCAUCCUCAUGCUAAUGCUCCUGGCCUUUACAGCUGCAUCAAGGCAUCAGAUAAGGAACGCCAGGCUUCUUCUGACAGAGGAGAACGCCAGGAUGCUAGUUUCAGAUUAUAUGCCUCAAGAUGCCCCUCAUGGAGACAAUUAUGGUCAACAAACCUGAUUGGCUCUAUUUGUAGGAGAAAAUCUAAUAUGAUUCUAGGGUAAUAACGAAUAAGGAGAGUGGCGUUUCUCUGCUUAUACGGUACUGUCUGGUUCUGCAAUUCUUGCCAGGCUAAGUGGCUAGCAUCCAGCAUGCGCUAGCGCAAUGUGCAUUUUUGUGAAGCAUUGAAGCUCAUGAUAACAUUAUAUAUGGAUAGUUUUUAUAUGUAAUCUGAGCACUCAAGGACUGUAUUUGAUUUCUCUAUCACGCAUGUAUCUUUUUAUAUCCAUCAAUAUUUAAUUAACAGUUGACAUAAAGAUGUGUGUAAACUGUAAUGAUUUUAGCAUGUAUUUCCAUAUACAUUUCUAGCUCAAGAGGGCCAGUUUGCCCAAGUGUUACAUUUA